rnacentral:rRNA from 1 species
UACAUGUGGGGCAAGCGUUGUUCGGAAUUACUGGGCAUAAAGGGUGCGUAGGUGGUUUGUUAAGUCAGGGGUGAAAUCCCGCGGCCCAACCGUGGAACUGCCUUCGAUACUGGCGAACUUGAGUGCGUGAGGGGUAGGGGGAACGAGCAGUGUAGCGGUGAAAUGCGUAGAUAUUGCUCGGAAGGCCAGAGCCGAAGGGGCCCUACUGGUGCGCAACUGACACUGAGGCACGAAAGCGUGGGGAGCAAAACGG